rfam:Homo sapiens chromosome 2, GRCh38 reference primary assembly.
GCUGGGCGUGGUGGCUCACGCCUGUAAUCCCAGCACUUUGGGAGGCCGAGGCGGGUGGAUCACCUGAGGUCAGGAGUUCAAGACCAGCCUGGCCAACAUGGUGAAACCCCGUCUCUA